UGACCUGCGGAUCAGACGUGAUUACCCGCUGAAUUAACAUAUUUAUUAACGGAGGAAAAAGAAACUAACAAAAGGAUUCCGCUAUAACGGCGAGUGAACGGGAGAGCCCAACACCGAAUCCUUGGCGGCAAUCAAACGAAAUGUGAGUGUUAAAGGUAGCCCUUCGUGUCAGUUCUAGGCGUUCAAAGUCCACCUGAUUGUGCUGCAACCAGAGAGGGUAAGGCCCGUAGAGACGCUCCGACUGAUUUCCUGGGUUUACCUAACGAGUCGGCUUGUUUUGGGGAAUGCAAGGCCAAAGCGGGUGGUAAACUCCAUCCAAGCUAAAUACUGGCACGAGUCCGAUAUGCGAACAAGUAACCUGUGAGGAAAGUUGAAAAGAACUUUGAAGAGAGAGUUACAAUAGUACGAAACCGCUUAGAGGCAAAUACGGAUGGUGCUCAUUUUAUUUACUGAGCCUGAGGAUUCAACUGUGACGGUGGCUGGACAGCUGGCGUUCCGAUCUCUCUGACGUUUUGCGUUGAGUCGGUUGGCUAUUCAUUCUCUGACUUUAUUGGUUGCACUUUCCUUGGUCCUCCGCCACGACCGACGACACUGGCUAACCCGCGCUGGGGUAAGGUGACAACUGCUUUCGGCAUUAUAUGUACCCUCUUGGCGUCGGACAUGGUUUUGGCCAUAGGACGUCCGAUUGUCUUUUUUGUUCGCGGUCUUCCGCUGCCUGUGGGGCUCGCAUUUGGCUAGCUUGGGCUGUCGCCGAAUGCGUUGCACGGACAACCAGUACAGGUUGACGGUUUGUUGGUCUUGUCUCUAGUUGGCCUCUGCGAGUUUUGGCGCCUAUAAAGUCUGUGGUGUACUUGUGGUAGACUAUCCGACUCUCGUCAUUUGAAACAUCGGACCAAGGAGUCUAACCAUGUGCGCGAGUCAUGGGAUUCUACGAAACGCAAAAGCGCAAGUGAAAGUAAAGGCGCUUCUACGUAGGCUGAGGUGGGAUCUCGUGGCAUCGCGAUUGGCGAGCGCACCCACGGCCCGUCCUAUCUGUCUCUGUCAGUGGGCGCGCAAGAGGUACGACGUUUGGGAACCCGAGAAGAUGGUGAACUAUGCUUGCGGCAGCUCGAAAGUCAGUGAAAACACUAUGGAGGAGCGCAGGUUCUGACGUGCAAAUUCGAUCGUCAACGUGAGUAUAGGGGGCGAAAGACUAAUCGAACCAUCUAGUAGUGCUGGUUCCAUCCGAAGUUUUCGCCUCAGGAUAGCUGGCACUCGGGAAACAGUUUUAUCCGGUAAAGCGAAUGAUUAGAGGCAUGGGUCGAAACGACCCUCGACCUAAUUCCUCAAACUUAAAUGGGUAAGAUGCUCGUCUCGCUUAAUUGGAGGCGGGCUUCACACUCUCUAAACGUGAAGUGAGUGCACCAGUGGCCAUUUUUUGGAACAGAACUGCGCUGUGGGAUGACCAAAACCGCGUAAGCGCCCAUGCGGACAUGCUCAUGGAACACCACAAAAGGUGUUGGUCGAAUACUGACAGCCAGGACGGUGGCCAUGGAAGUCGAACCCCGCUAGGAGUGUGUAACACUCACCGCCGAAUCAACCAGCCCGAAAAAUAGGAUGGCGCUGAAUGCGUCGGCGAAUUACAGUGCCGUGGGGCGAAGCAGACAAAUAAUCUGUGUGAUGUCCCACACGGUAGGAGGGUCCGCCGGGUGAGGGCAGAAGGUGCGGCCGUAGGCCGCUGGAGCCGCCACGGCGCAGAUCUUGGUGGUGUAAGCAAUACUCAAGUGAGACCUGGACUGAAGUGGAGAGGGUCGCAUGUGAAGCAGCAGGUGAACAUGGUCAGGCGUCCUAAGCGAUCGGUAACUCCGUACCUAGACGAGGGUGACAACUAUCACUUAACAAUUGUGACAAGUGUUAAGCCCUCCGGAGCGCGCAAAGGAAUCGUGUUAAUGAUUCACGACCUUACGUGGAGAUCGGCCCCUUUCCGGGGCAAGUGCGGUAACGCAAAAGCGAACACAGAGAAAACGUCGCUGAGGCCCCGGGAAGAGUUCUCUUUCUUUGUAAGGAGCGUAGCCCCUGGAAUCGGCUUGUCCGAAGAUGGGGCGUGCUUCCGUAAAAGCAGCGCGGUCUUGCGCUGUCGUGCACUCUAGUCGGCCCUUGAAAAUCUGUGGAGACUAAAGUGUGAUUUUCACGGUAGGCCGUACCAUAUCCGCAGCAGUCUCCAAGGUGAACAGCCUCUAGUCCUAGAACAAUGUAGGUAAGGGAAAGUCGGCAAAUGGAUUCCGUAAGCUUCGGGAAAAGGAUUGGCUCGAGGGCUGGGUCGAAUGGGCUGGACGUAAGAAAGCUGUUCCGGUUUGGUGAGGACUGGCGAGGCUUUCGGCUUUAACCUCGAGCCAUGCCGAGACCAGGCAGUAGACGACGUCAGCUGUGCUUGUCUGUUUUCGGCGGCGGCAGCUUCGUCCGGCAACAAACAGCCACUCAGAACUGGCAACGGACUAGGGGAUCCGAUCUGUGCUAAUUAAAACAAAGCAUUGCGAUGGCCUGUUGCUCGUGUGUUGACGCAAUGUGAUUUCUGCCCAAGUGCGUCUGAAAUGUCAAUUGUGAAGAAAAUUUCAUCAAGCGCGGCUAAACGGCGGAGUAACUAUGACUCUCUUAAGGUACCCAAAUGCCUCGGUCAUCUAAUUAGUGACGCGCAUGAAUGGAUUUAACGAGAUUCCCACUGUCCCUAUCUACUAAUCUAGCGAAACCACAGCCAAGGAACGCUUGGCAUGAAUCAGCGGGGAAAAGAAGACCUGAUUGAGCUGAACUCUAGUCGCGACUUUGUGAGAGACAUUGAGAGGUGUAGUAUAGGUGGGAGCGUCAGCGACUUUGAAAUACCACUACUUUAUCGUUUCUUUAACUUAUUCAGUGAGAGCGGAGCGGCUUCACGGCCUCGUUUCUGGUGUGUAAACCGGACUGCCAUCGCGGCCGAGGACCGUGACCUGCUCUGAAGACAUGGUCAGGCGGGGAAGUUGACUGGGCGGUACAUCUGUCAAAAGGUAACGCAGGUGUCCAAGAGAGCUCAGUCAAGGACAGAAACCAUGGCGAAGAGCAAAAAGGGCAAAAGCUGCAAUUGUGAUUUUGAGUUUUCAGUAUGCGAUACAGACCGUGAAAGCGCGCCUAUCGAUCCUUUGAAUUAAUCAGAGUGUUGAUGCAAGGGUGUCAGAAAAAAGUACCACAGGGAUAACUGGCUGUGGCGGCCAAGCGUUCAUAGUCGACGUCGCUUUUUGACCUUCGAUUGUCGCUCCUUCUAUCAUUGUGAAGGCAGAACUUACGCAAGCGUUGGAUUGUUCACCCACGCAAAUAGGGAACGUGAGCUGGGUUUAGACCCGUCGUGUGAGACAGUUAGUUUUACCCUAACUGAUGUCUUGUCGUUGCUAUGGUAAUCCUGCUAGUACGAGAGAGGAAACCGCAGGUUCAGACAUUUGGUUUAUGUGCUUUGGUCGAAAGACGCAAAAUGGUGUGCGAAAGCUACCAUCUGAGGGAUUAAAAGACCUGGACUAAAGACCUCUUAAGUCUGAAUCCCGCCCAGAAAUGGCAACGGAUACUAUCUCGGUGCCCCGCUACGCCGGGAGCAACGAAUAUACUCGGCCGAAAUCCGAUUUCGCGGCCACGAGACUGGCUAAAGCCAACUGGCGAUAGCUGGCCCACUCCCGCUCGUCUUGGAAAUUUGCAGUGGAGGCACAGACACACAGACCAACCGCGAUACCACUUGAAUUGAGACGUAGGGGUUCUAAUAUCGUUUGUAGACCGACUUAGAUCUCGGUCGGCGGUGCCGUACUUAGUUGAGCCAGAUUCAAUUUUCACUGCGAUCUAUUGAGGCUAAGCCUUUUGACGGGGAGAUAUGU
rnacentral:rRNA from 1 species